rnacentral:rRNA from 1 species
UAGCCGUAAACGAUACUCGCUAGGUGUCGGCCACGGUGCGACCGUUGUCGGUGCCGUAGGGAAGCCGUGAAGCGAGCCACCUGGGAAGUACGGCCGCAAGGCUGAAACUUAAAGGAAUUGGCGGGGGGAGGCACCACAACGGGUGGAGCUUGCGGUUUAAUUGGAUUCAACGCCGGAAAUCUUACCGGGACCGACAGCAACAUGAAGGCCAGGCUGAAGACUUUGCCGGAUUAGCUGAGAGGUGGUGCAUGGCGUAGUCGUGU